rnacentral:rRNA from 1 species
GAUGAACGCUGGCGGCGUGCCUAACACAUGCAAGUCGAGCGAACAGACGAGGAGCUUGCUCCUCUGACGUUAGCGGCGGACGGGUGAGUAACACGUGGAUAACCUACCUAUAAGACUGGGAUAACUUCGGGAAACCGGAGCUACUACCGGAUAAUAUAUUGAACCGCAUGGUUCAAUAGUGAAAGACGGUUUUGCUGUCACUUAUAGAUGGAUCCGCGCCGCAUCAGCUAGUUGGUAAGGUAACGGCUUACCAAGGCAACGAUGCGUAGCCGACCUGAGAGGGUGGUCGGCCACACUGGAGCUGAGACACGGUCCAGACUCCUGCGGGGGGCAGCAGUAGGGAAUCUUCCGCGAUGGGCGAGAGCCUGACGGAGCAACGCCGCGUGAGUGAUGAGGGUCUUCGGAUCGUAGAACUCUGUUAUUAGGGGGGAACAAAUGUGUAAGUAACUGUGCACGUCUUGACGGUACCUAGUCAAAAAGCCACGGCUAACUACGUG